UAGCCGUAAACGAUACUCGCUAGGUGUCGGCCACGGUGCGACCGUUGUCGGUGCCGUAGGGAAGCCGUGAAGCGAGCCACCUGGGAAGUACGGCCGCAAGGCUGAAACUUAAAGGAAUUGGCGGGGGAGCACCACAACGGGUGGAGCUUGCGGUUUAAUUGGAUUCAACGCCGGAAAUCUUACCGGGACCGACAGCAACAUGAAGGCCAGGCUGAAGACCUUGCCGGAUUAGCUGAGAGGAGGUGCAUGGCGUAGACGUCU
rnacentral:rRNA from 1 species